rnacentral:lncRNA from 10 species
ACACUUGGCAGUAUCCUAACUUCUUCACUCUUGUCCACAUUUGUCUUGGCGCUCUGGGGAAGAAGGCUGGAGUGCAAUGGCGCGAUCUUGGCUCACUGCAACCUCCGCCUUCCUGGUUCAAGUGAUUCUCCUGCCUCAGCCUCCUGAGUAGCUGGGAUAACAGACAUGCAUCACCACGACCAGAUAAGGACACUGCAGCCCAGAGAAGAAACCUGCAAAGGCCGUGUUCACACACUCACAAGAGAUAUGGCUGUGAUUUGGAUCCAGAUGUGAUGGGCUGACAACAAAACUCCUGUGAUACCAUGAAGUCUUCGGGAGGCAGAAUUGAAGUGAACAUGAAGUUUAGCUUAGAGAAGAAAAGAAUAAAUACAUACAAAACAUUUGAUGGUGAAUAAACAGAAAAUGGUGUAUUCAACAGAAUUUGACUCAGCAAUAAAAAUGAACCAAACUAUGGAAAACAACACCCAACAACAGGAAGAAAUCUCAAAAUAAUUAUGGUGAGUGAAAGAGGCCAGACCAAAAAAAAAAAAAAAAAAAGACUAGAAAAUGUUAACUACCCAAUAGUGAUGAAAAACAAGCAGAUCAGUGAUUGCCUAGGGAGUGGAGGGAAGGGCACCCUGAAAAGAGGUAGGAAGGAAGGGAUGAUAAACAGGCAGAAGGAAACUUUUGAGGGUGGUGGAUAUAUUCACUACCUUGAUGGAGAUGCUUGCAAGGGUGUCAAAAUGCAUCACAUCGUAUGCUUUAAACAUGCACAGUUUAUCGUAUGUUAAUUAUAGUUCAAUGAAGCCAAAAAACAUAUUUGAAUUUAAAUAUGUUUAGUACAAUCCACAAAUCCUAUGAAGUAGACCAGUAUUAUUGUUCUACUAAUAACAGAUUGAAAAUUGUGUUCAGUAUACCUAUAAAACAGGUAAUUUUGACAAAUAGCCCCUUCAGCAUAUCUAAUGUAUACUCAAUAUGUCUUACCAAUUUCCAAGUAGAAAUUAUCCAUUAAGUAAUAACUUAGGUUCUAUUAAAACCUAAUUCAAUGGAAAAAACCUAUUACUAAAUUCUAGCUUAUUAAAAACCAGUUUGGCCAUAAGAGGUCACGAAUUCUAAAAACUAAUAAUACUUAAAUAAAUUACUUAAAAUUACUUAAGUAUUAAAUAAUACCUAAAUAUAUUUACAAUAAUAAUAGUAGUAGUAGAAGUAAUGCCAUUUCCUUAUUAAGUUUCCCAUUUUAAAAAAUACCUUAAAAACUCUGAAAUUUUUCUUCUGAAAUAAAUAAGAGGAUAGAUAGAAUUAUUCUCAUUUACCAGACAUUAAUUUUUAAAUUGCCCGAAAAAUGCCUUUUCUACAACUUUUUUUUCAUAACUGCUUUGAUAAGAAGAAUCACAAUCUGUUUGGAAGUUUGCUUUGCUCAAUGUCAUAAGUUGGUUUACAAUUCAAUCGAAUGCCCUGGUUUGUCACAGGAGCUCACCAAUAAGCAAAACAGCCAAGCCUUUUGAAGACUAAUUAGAAAAAGUACAAUAAAAUUAAUUCACACA